GCAUCAAGAUUAGAACUAUCUCCAAACAGAUAGAACCAAGAUUCCACAUGAGCCUCUUCACCAAGGAGUACCAUCGUGUGCGUCCAAAAUAUUUUCUUAGCCUAUGGUGCAAUAGGCACAAACCGUUCACUGUAACGCCCAAAAUCUGGUUUCCAAGUUAUAGGAAUUAAGUUGAUUUAUUUAAGUACUUUUGUGAGCAUUUGAAUCUAGCAAAUAAAUAAUUUUGUGCAAAUUAAAAUUCAUCAUAAGUUUAGAAACAUGAAUUUGCAUUCAUGCUGGGGCAUAUUUUUAUUUGAGCUGUGAGAUUUUGGAUUGAAGUUAAUUGUGUUCAAAAUUCUAUUUGAAAAGGGCUUUGAAAAAUAAAAUAAAAAAAGAGAAGAAAGGGGAAAGAACACCGCAGCCAACCCCUCCCGGCC
rnacentral:lncRNA from 1 species